UUCAAGGGCAACAGUGGCAGCCAGAAACUUUCUAGCCUGACUGUGUCCUCCAACUCCCUCUUCAGAGUCAUCUGGAUUGAGAAGUAGGAAGAGCCCAGUGGAGGAUGCUGGCAGCAUUUCCCAAACUGCAGAAACACUGACAAACCAUCAAGCUACAAAUUAGUAGAACUGCUUCCUACUGGCCUAGAGACAGAGGCAGAGCCUGAGUUUUGGUACUUUCUUGAUGAAGGCCAAGAGAAAUAUUCUGAAGAAAACAUAAUUGUAUGGGUUGGAGAGAAGACUUUCUCCCAGAGGGAAGAAAAGAUAUGUUGGAAAAGGACCCCACAUCACCUCAACUGAAAGAGAGUUGUAUUAUACCCUAAAUUUCUACAAUAAUGCUGGAUCAGGAAGCAAAUGUCUCAAAGUACCAGGCAAGAAAAUAAGUUCUAAAGGCUUAGGAAACUGGUUUAAGGAAGGUAAAGCAGCCUGAGAUUCUAGGGCAAAAACCACUGUGUGCAGACAACACAGGCAGCCUCAAUCUGGUCCUGAAACUUGCUGGGGGGAAUGUCACAAUUACUGAAGGAGGGGAAAUGAAGCUGAGGACCUAAGAACUGGGGUGGAUCUUGAGCUCUAAUCCAGUUACUUUUCUCUGGUGUGGGUGGGGGCCUUCCCCUCUCCCCGUGGGCUGACUGGCCACGUGAGGCAGGAAACUUUGACCACCCCAUCCUGUUUUGUAUGUCGCUCUGUUAUGCUGCACAUACAUCAUUUUCAGUAUGA